AAUGAACGUUGGCGGCAUGGAUUAGGCAUGCAAGUCGCGCGAUAAGAUUCCUUCGGGAAUCCGAAAGCGGCGAAAGGGAGAGUAACGCGUAGAUGAUCUACCCCGAGGACUGGGAUAGCGGCGGGAAACUGCCGGUAAUACCAGAUGAUGUCUCCGGACCAAAGGUGUGAUUCCGCCUUGGGAUGAAUCUGCGUCCUAUUAGCUAGUUGGUGAGGUAACGGCUCACCAAGGCGAAGAUGGGUACCGGGUGUGAGAGCAUGACCCGGCUCACUGGGACUGAGACACUGCCCAGACACCUACGGGUGGCUGCAGUCGAGAAUCUUCGGCAAUGGGCGAAAGCCUGACCGAGCAAUGCCGCGUACGGGAUGAAGGCCU
rnacentral:rRNA from 1 species